CCGGAGCUGGAAACCCAGCUGCUUCCAUUGGUGGGUCAUUUUUGCUGUCACCAGCCACAGUGCCACAAUGAACAUCUUUGACAGACACGUUCUUGACAUUGAAGAACUUCAGUGUAGUGAAAGA